rnacentral:rRNA from 1 species
GUUAAGUUAACAAGGGCGCAUGGUGAAUGCCUUGGCACUAGGAGCCGAUGAAGGACGGGACUAACACCGAUAUGCUUCGGGGAGCUGUACGUAAGCUAUGAUCCGGAGAUU